rnacentral:lncRNA from 1 species
GUACACAUCAAGAUAUUAUUGCAUGGUUAUUAAUUAACUCCUUAUUAUUUAUGUAGUAUAAUGUAUUGGCCGAUUGCUGAUAUAUAAUUAAAAUAAUGAUUCAGUGUCUGUGUCACUCAUUCAUCAUUUUUUUUUCUUUUCGUUUGCUUUUUUUAUUUAUCAAUAAAUAUUAAUUAUUAACUUGUUAGCGGAAGAGAUUUUUUAAUCCACUAUUUUUUUUUCUUUUUCAUUUCGUUCUCAUCCUUUAGUUUUUUAAAUUUAUUGGAUGGUUAAUUCUUUGCUUUACUACGUGCUACCUGA